GGUCACGAGUACCAGCGCAUAGCCCCGGCUUGCUGGUCGGCAACCCUCCUCCGCGGUGGGGUGCUCCGGGUGACGACCUGGUCGUCUGCAACGAACGCAGUCGGCAAGCGCGGACU
rnacentral:ncRNA from 2 species